CAGUCGCCACGGGAAUACGUAGGUGGCAAGCGUUGUCCGGGAUUAUUGGGCGUAAAGCGCGCGCAGGUGGUUUAAUAAGUCUGAUGUGAAAGCCCACGGCUCAACCGUGGAGGGUCAUUGGAAACUGUUAAACUUGAGUGCAGGAGAGAAAAGUGGAAUUCCUAGUGUAGCGGUGAAAUGCGUAGAGAUUAGGAGGAACACCAGUGGCGAAGGCGGCUUUUUGGCCUGUAACUGACACUGAGGCGCGAAAGCGUGGGGAGCAAACAGGAUUAGAUACCCGCGUAGUCCCUGUCUCUUAUAA
rnacentral:rRNA from 1 species